GAGCCCCAGUUUAAUAUUCUCUUCACUCAUCUGCCGCUGACACGUGAAGUUCUCUCUUGUCCACAGAGGCCUCGCCUUUCAUUUGGAGCCCUUCGAAGGCUUCAGACUCACUGUAUCUUGGCAGAUGUAAGAAGAGUUAAGUUUUUGAGGACAGACAGGGGCUUGAAGGAACAGCAUGAGCAUGAGGAAGUAGCAGUAAGAGAACUUGGCAUGACAGGGAAUGGGGCAUUGCUUAGGGUUCUUUUGAGUCUGAAAAACGUGGUGUCUUUGGACCUCUAGGUUAUAGUGUGGUUAGACCUAAUUCUGUGGACAUCCGGGGCCCAUUUCUGCAGUUGAGGUGGACCUGACAAGGUCACUGCCUCUGAGAGGAGCCUCUCACCGGAACAGGCACCAGGUCCUUGAGGUUGGGCACCGAGCCUGGUUUCACUUGAUGAUGGUCGUUUGCUCAUCGAGGGCCUGACCAGCACUCCAAGACUUCGCCCUCUCUCUCUGAUGGUUAACUCGCUCCUGGGUUAGUUGUCUGGCUGGAGCUCUGGGUUUUUGAAGUUACUUGGCUGCCUGUUAAGUCAAAUGGAAUGAUUCAUUUGUGUUUGUAAGCUCUUCAUUAGCAUUCAAGAUAAUAACUCUCAUUUAUAUGACACUAAAUUGCUUUCACACAAAUUAAUCUCAUUUGAUGUGAUCUUCAAAACAAGCCUGUGAGAUAGGCAAUGACCAUUAGCUCCAGUUUAUAGGUGAGAAGACGAAGUUUAAUUGAUUUGCCCAGCAUAGGGUGGCUAGUAAAUGCAAAGCACCUGCCCAAACCUGAAUUUUCUACUCCUCUCUCAGAACUUUUUCCAUGACCCACACUUAAGGAGCACCUAGGGCAAUAAAAGACAGAUUUUGGGGCCUCAGAGAGCCUUGGGACUCCAACAGUGACACAGAUGGAGAUUUGACUAGAUAAAGCUGCCCAAUCUGGCUGACCCCAACAGAUAUUGAACUGGUCUGGAAAGUUGGAUGAAUAUGUGUCAAAAUUUGCAUUAAAACUACCACAGCA